rnacentral:rRNA from 1 species
GAUGAACGCUGGCGGCGUGCCUAAUACAUGCAAGUCGAGCGAACAGACGAGGAGCUUGCUCCUCUGACGUUAGCGGCGGACGGGUGAGUAACACGUGGAUAACCUACCUAUAAGACUGGGAUAACUUCGGGAAACCGGAGCUAAUACCGGAUAAUAUAUUGAACCGCAUGGUUCAAUAGUGAAAGACGGUUUUGCUGUCACUUAUAGAUGGAUCCGCGCUGCAUUAGCUAGUUGAUAAGGUAACGGCUUACCAAGGCGACGAUGCGUAGCCGACCUGAGAGGGUGAUCGGCCACACUGGAACUGAGACACGGUCCAGACUCCUACGGGAGGCAGCAGUAGGGAAUCUUCCGCAAUGGGCGAAAGCCUGACGGAGCAACGCCGCGUGAGUGAUGAAGGUCUUCGGAUCGUAAAACUCUGUUAUUAGGGAAGAACAAAUGUGUAAGUAACUAUGCACGUCUUGACGGUACCUAAUCAGAAAGCCACGGCUAACUACGUG